CACUUAAUGAACAAUUUGCGAAUCUGGAAGUACAAAUUGAUUUUCUAUGUAGGACAGAUGAUGUAUGAAAUAUUAAAAAUGAUUCUACUAGUAUCUACUCGAGCACGUUGGGAAGACACGUGGAUGGAAUAUUAAGAGGGGUACCAAUUAUAACCUUUUAAUAAUAUUAAGAAAGAUAUACUAGUUUUUGAUACUUUUUAGAAAUAAUUCCUUACAGGAAUAGUAUAUAUUAGUAUGCUUUUGAUAGUAAUAUUUAGAUUGCGAAUAUACAUGAAUUUACAAGAUCUUUAAAAAUAUAAAAAUGUACAAAAUGCACAUAAUAUCUAAAAACAUAGGAAAUAUUUAAAAUGAAGUACAUAGUUGUUAUAUAUGUCCCUGAAUGGGUAAAACUUAUGUUAAUAAAGAUGUGUAUAAAAGUGUAUAAAAAUCCAUAAUCUAGUAUAUUGUUCAAGUUUGUACAAUUACGCUAUUAACGCUGAAAAUGAUUUCUAUAAGCUUUCAUUUAAGAUGAUGAGCAAUUUAAAUAACUUUAUGAAAACUUCAAAAGAAAAAUUGGUGAUGAGUCUUUUCUAUGAUAAUAGCGAAUGUGAGAAUUGAAAUAUGAACCACAAACAUACUUUCACGCAUAUAUUCGUGUCGAUGCAAGUGUACGUUGACGAAUAAGAGGCCCUGUAAUCUCGACUAUCUCGUAGGUUUGCUGCACAUUUAACAGUCAGCAUGCAGUCAUCCAACUAUUAUGUCAUUCGGAUCCUAUAAGAAUAGAUCUACAACAGUGAUUCUCAAAUUAUUCUUUAUGAAUUUGGGAGAUGAAAAUUAUAAUACAAAUAAGUCCACUAUUAAUUUUUAUAAAACGACAUUCCAUAUUUAUUAUUAUAAAAAUUUAUAUUUUUACAAGACAUGAAAAUUUGUCGUAGCAGUAAAUAAAAUUAUAACAUAAUUUAAUUAAAUACAAAACUAAAGAGAUAAUACGUUUAAAAGUUAACAUAUAUAUAGGAUUGUGUGAAUUCAAAUUUUCAAAAUUUUAAUUUACAUCACCAUGAUUUUGAGUUUGUCAAUUUUAUUAAGAAUCUAUUUCGAUCAUUUUCCUAUAUAUCGAAAAACAUAACCUAUAAUAUAGAUGAUACUCUAAAGUUCAAGAAUCAAAUUUUGUAAUUAUACUCCAUGACUAUGAUUAAUAAAAUUAAUAAAAGAAUAUUAUAUAAACACAAAAUAUUGAAUUUAUUAUUCUAUGAAGCUCAUUCUUGUUUUAUUUAAUAAAAUUAUACACGUAUAAAAGUUCAAUGGUUUAUUCUUUAUGAUUGAAAAUCACUGCUCUACAAUUUCAUGAAUGUAAUUGUAAUAUAUCUUCGAUCGGUAAAUCAGCGUAAAAACAAUUGAUUGUGAAGAACAAUUUACUUGAAAAUGAAUGACCUUAGAAAAAUCGUAUAUGGUGAUUCGUUGACCGAAUGAGUCAUUCUACAUUCCAAAUCUAUUGAUUGUGGCAUUCGUGGCAUAUGAUCCAACAUGAUUGCAUGUGCACAAUUCGUCUAUAAUUUUCAUCCAUGAAAAUUUCGUGAACUUAAAAAAUGUCCUUACUAUGUUGUAUAGAGUAAGGGAGUAAAAGAAGUCUAUGAUAAAUUUUGAUUGAUCUUUAAUCGAUCAACUGUAUUCUUAUCAAUUACGGUCUCCUAAGGUUAUGUUUCUCUUAGCUAUAUGAAAAAUGCAUUAAGAUGCUAAAAACAAAAGUCUAAUGAAGGUAAAUCUAGAACUUGUACGUUGCAUGAUCAUGAGAAGAUAACCGGGAGAAUUAUAGAAUAAGUUACAAAGUUAUUUCACUCAAUAUAACUAAUAUAUAUAUAUUCUUUAUUUUUGUUUGCCUUUCAGUUUUGUAGUGAUCUCCUACUACAUAUAAUCAACAUGUUUUGCUUAUUACUAUUUUACGUUAGUAAAAAAAUUCAUUAAUUAAGUUAUUAUAAUAUAACAUUUGUAAUUAAAAGGUGGUGUAGUUAAAAAAUGUUAAGCAUUACUAUGUAAAAUGUAGUUAAUUUAUAUUCAUUAUUUUAUUUAUUUAAAUUUAUGAAACUUCAUACUUGUUUAUAUAAAUGCAUGUUUUAGUAUUUUUAAUAUGUAAAUAUAUGUAUAGUAUGUUAGAUAAAAAUGUUGCCUCUCCAACAAUUUAACUUUUUUAUAAAACUGAGCAGUGAAGCUUGACAAUCGUUUUUCUUGGUUCGCGAACUAUGAAUUACUUGUAGUUGUUACAAGUGCAUCUCGCUUUUAUUUCCCAUUUAGAUGUUAAAUUGAUCGAAUAAAAAUGUAUACUUCGCUUGAUUUAUUAUAGAAAAGAGGAAAACAGUGAAUCCGCUUUAUACAAUGAAUAUUUUAUCUGUUAUUUUAAAACAAUUUUCUAAAUAUAAAUAAAUAAAUAAAUA